GCCCGGGUGGCGGAACUGGCAGACGCGCACGUUUGAGGGGCGUGUGGUUUAUACCGUACGAGUUCAAGUCUCGUCCCGGGCACCA
rnacentral:tRNA from 1 species